rnacentral:rRNA from 1 species
GAUGAACGCUGGCGGCGUGCCUAAUACAAGCAAGUCGAGCGAACAGACGAGGAGCUUGCUCCUCUGACGUUAGCGGCGGACGGGUGAGUAACACGUGGAUAACCUACCUAUAAGACUGGGAUAACUUCGGGAAACCGGAGCUAAUACCGGAUAAUAUAUUGAACCGCAUGGUUCAAUAGUGAAAGACGGUUUUGCUGUCACUUAUAGAUGGAUCCGCGCCGCAUUAGCUAGUUGGUAAGGUAACGGCUUACCAAGGCGACGAUGCGUAGCCGACCUGAGAGGGUGAUCGGCCACACUGGAACUGAGACACGGUCCAGACUCCUACGGGAGGCAGCAGUAGGGAAUCUUCCGCAAUGGGCGAAAGCCUGACGGAGCAACGCCGCGUGAGUGAUGAAGGUCUUCGGAUCGUAAAACUCUGUUAUUAGGGAAGAACAAAUGUGUAAGUAACUAUGCACGUCUUGACGGUACCUAAUCAGAAAGCCACGGCUAACUACGUG